rnacentral:rRNA from 1 species
GACGAACGCUGGCGGCGUGCUUAACACAUGCAAGUCGAACGGAAAGGCCCUGCUUUUGUGGGGUGCUCGAGUGGCGAACGGGAGAGUAACACGUGAGUAACCUGCCCUCGACUUUGGGCUAACUUUAGGAAACCGGGGCUAAUACCGGAUAGGAGCUCCUGCUGCCUGGUGGGGGUUGGAAAGUUUCGGCGGUUGGGGAUGGAUGCGCGGCUUAUCAGCUUGUUGGUGGGGUCGUGGCCUACCAAGACUUUGACGGGUAGCCGGCCUGAGAGGGUGACCGGCCGCAUUGGUGCGGAGGAGCGGCCCAGACUCCUACGGGGGGCAGCAGUGGGGGAGAUUGCACAGUAAGCGGAAGCCGGAUGCAGCAACGCCGCGGGCGGGAUGUAGGCCGUCGGGGUGUAAACCGCUUUCUCCUGUGGCGAAGCGUGAGUGACGGUAAUGGAUAAAUAAGCACCGGCUAACUACGUG